rnacentral:rRNA from 1 species
CUAAAACAUGCAGUCGAACGCUUCUUUCCUCCCGAGUGCUUGCACUCAAUUGGAAAGAGGAGUGGCGGACGGGUGAGUAACACGUGGGUAACCUACCCAUCAGAGGGGGAUAACACUUGGAAACAGGUGCUAAUACCGCAUAACAGUUUAUGCCGCAUGGCAUAAGAGUGAAAGGCGCUUUCGGGUGUCGCUGAUGGAUGGACCCGCGGUGCAUUAGCUAGUUGGUGAGGUAACGGCUCACCAAGGCCACGAUGCAUAGCCGACCUGAGAGGGUGAUCGGCCACACUGGGACUGAGACACGGCCCAGACUCCUACGGGAGGCAGCAGUAGGGAAUCUUCGGCAAUGGACGAAAGUCUGACCGAGCAACGCCGCGUGAGUGAAGAAGGUUUUCGGAUCGUAAAACUCUGUUGUUAGAGAAGAACAAGGACGUUAGUAACUGAACGUCCCCUGACGGUAUCUAACCAGAAAGCCACGGCUAACUACGUGCCAGCAGCCGCGGUAAUACGUAGGUGGCAAGCGUUGUCCGGAUUUAUUGGGCGUAAAGCGAGCGCAGGCGGUUUCUUAAGUCUGAUGUGAAAGCCCCCGGCUCAACCGGGGAGGGUCAUUGGAAACUGGGAGACUUGAGUGCAGAAGAGGAGAGUGGAAUUCCAUGUGUAGCGGUGAAAUGCGUAGAUAUAUGGAGGAACACCAGUGGCGAAGGCGGCUCUCUGGUCUGUAACUGACGCUGAGGCUCGAAAGCGUGUGGAGCAAACAGGAUUAGAUACCCUGGUAGUCCACGCCGUAAACGAUGAGUGCUAAGUGUUGGAGGGUUUCCGCCCUUCAGUGCUGCAGCAAACGCAUUAAGCACUCCGCCUGGGGAGUACGACCGCAAGGUUGAAACUCACAGGAAUUGACGGGGGCCCGCACAAACAGUGGAACAUGUGGUUUAAUUCAAAGCAACGCGAAGAACCUUACCAGGUCUUGACAUCCGUUGACCACUCUAGAGAUAAGACCUUUCCCUUCCGGGACCAAAUGACCAGUGGUUCAUGGUUGUCCUCAGUUCUUGACCCGAAAG